UAGGGAAUCUUCCGCAAUGGGCGAAAGCCUGACGGAGCAACGCCGCGUGAGUGAUGAAGGUCUUCGGAUCGUAAAACUCUGUUAUUAGGGAAGAACAAAUGUGUAAGUAACUAUGCACGUCUUGACGGUACCUAAUCAGAAAGCCACGGCUAACUACGUGCCAGCAGCCGCGGUAAUACGUAGGUGGCAAGCGUUAUCCGGAAUUAUUGGGCGUAAAGCGCGCGUAGGCGGUUUUUUAAGUCUGAUGUGAAAGCCCACGGCUCAACCGGGGAGGGUUAUUGGAAACUGGAAAUCUUGAGUGCAGAAGAGGAAAGUAGAAUUCCAUGUGUAGCGGUGAAAUGCGCAGAGAUAUGGAGGAACGCCAGUGGAGAAGGCGACUUUCUGGUCUGUAACUGACGCUGAUGUGCGAAGGCGUGGGGAUCAAACAGG
rnacentral:rRNA from 1 species